ACCUGGCUGGCUUAGUCGGUGAAGCACGUGACUCUUGGUCUCUUGGUUGUGAGUUCAAGCCUCACACUGGGCA
rnacentral:tRNA from 1 species